rnacentral:rRNA from 1 species
UACGUAGGGUGCGAGCGUUAAUCGGAAUUACUGGGCGUAAAGCGUGCGCAGGCGGCUUUUUAAGACAGGUGUGAAAUCCCCGGGCUUAACCUGGGAAUGGCGCUUGUGACUGGAAGGCUAGAGUGCGGCAGAGGGGGAUGGAAUUCCUGGUGUAGCAGUGAAAUGCGUAGAUAUCAGGAGGAACACCGAUGGCGAAGGCAGUCCCCUGGGUCGACACUGACGCUCAGGCACGAAAGCGUGGGGAGCAAACAGGAUUAGAUACCCCGGUAGUCC